rnacentral:rRNA from 1 species
AUUGAACGCUGGCGGCAGGCUUAACACAUGCAAGUCGAGCGGGGGAAGGUAGCUUGCUACCGGACCUAGCGGCGGACGGGUGAGUAAUGCUUAGGAAUCUGCCUAUUAGUGGGGGACAACAUCUCGAAAGGGAUGCUAAUACCGCAUACGUCCUACGGGAGAAAGCAGGGGAUCUUCGGACCUUGCGCUAAUAGAUGAGCCUAAGUCGGAUUAGCUAGUUGGUGGGGUAAAGGCCUACCAAGGCGACGAUCUGUAGCGGGUCUGAGAGGAUGAUCCGCCACACUGGGACUGAGACACGGCCCAGACUCCUACGGGAGGCAGCAGUGGGGAAUAUUGGACAAUGGGGGGAACCCUGAUCCAGCCAUGCCGCGUGUGUGUAGGAGGCCUUAUGGUUGUAAAGCACUUUAAGCGAGGAGGAGGCUACUCUAGUUAAUACCUAGGGAUAGUGGACGUUACUCGCAGAAUAAGCACCGGCUAACUCUGUGCCAGCCGCCGCCUAA